rnacentral:rRNA from 1 species
CCAGACUCCUACGGGAGGCAGCAGUGAGGAAUAUUGGUCAAUGGGCGGGAGCCUGAACCAGCCAAGCCGCGUGAAGGAAGAAGGCGCCAGGCGUCGUAAACUUCUUUUGUCGGGGAACAAAGGGCGCCACGUGUGGCGUUGUGAGUGUACCCGAAGAAAAAGCAUCGGCUAACUCCGUGCCAGCAGCCGCGGUAAUACGGAGGAUGCGAGCGUUAUCCGGAUUUAUUGGGUUUAAAGGGUGCGUAGGCGGACGCUUAAGUCAGCGGUAAAAUUGCGGGGCUCAACCUCGUCGAGCCGUUGAAACUGGGUGCCUUGAGUGGGCGAGAAGUACGCGGAAUGCGUGGUGUAGCGGUGAAAUGCAUAGAUAUCACGCAGAACUCCGAUUGCGAAGGCAGCGUACCGGCGCCCAACUGACGCUGAAGCACGAAGGCGUGGGUAUCGAACAGGAUUAGAUACCCUCGUA